rnacentral:rRNA from 1 species
UACGGAGGGGGGCUAGCGUUGUUCGGAAUUACUGGGCGUAAAGCGCACGUAGGUGGCUUUGUAAGUUAGAGGUGAAAGCCCGGGGCUCAACUCCGGAAUUGCCUUUAAGACUGCAUCGCUAGAACGUCGGAGAGGUAAGUGGAAUUCCGAGUGUAGAGGUGAAAUUCGUAGAUAUUCGGAAGAACACCAGUGGCGAAGGCGACUUACUGGACGACUGUUGACACUGAGGUGCGAAAGCGUGGGGA